GUUCUUUCAGCAAGCUCCAUAUCAUCUUGAAGUUGUAGAACAUACUGGCUAAGAUCUUUAUUGUGUUGUAGUUGAGCAGGUCUCUCUACCAAAACAUUAUUGAAGGCGCUUAACGUGACCUUUAACCUUUUCCAGCAUUGAAGACAACAUAAGACACCAAUUACAGUGAAAACUGGGAUCAGCGCUGUCAUAUUGCAUGCUACCACUACCAUCUUCUGGAAUCCUUUACAACAGCUCAAACUCAGGACUUUUAGUUCUUGAAUGACUAUCUUGCAUCUGCGGCUACUGACUUUAACUGAUAUAAGAGUCCAGAUUAUGCAGAAGAUGGAAAUAUGUGUCCCCCAUAAUUAUGCUCCCUCCAAGUAAAGGAAAGGAAAUGGUUAUUUAAAACAAAUCAAAUCAAAGGGGUUUAUGAAGAUUGUGUGAAUUAUGCAGAGCUUAAAAGCUGUGGCAUUAUAUGAAACAAAUCAAAGGAGUGUAUGAUGAUUGUGUGAAUUAUCACUUAAAAGCUGUGGUAAUAUAUGAAACAAUAUAUAUGGAAGGAUUAAGGUAAGG
rnacentral:lncRNA from 1 species